GGAAAAUGUCUCAUCCAUUCUCAUGUAUUUCAAUUAGUCCCACAGAAGACUUAUGAAUGCUAUUUCCUGUGGCCUCAUUGACCUGAAAAGUGGUACUCAGGGAGAUGGCUGAUACUUCCACAACGCAACAUCACCAUUGUGGCAGUCCAGUAAACUUUCAAGAUACCUGGAAAAUGUAUAACAAAAAAUAUCUGCAUCCUGGGGCACCUGGGUGUAAUGUCACAUCUUCCAGACCAACCUUCCCAUCAGCUGUAAGACAAAGAGUAGUCACAGACCAAAAAUGAGACUGUUACUUCUCUCAAAUCCAAGCUGUCCUAAAGGGGAUACAUUUUUAUGUACAAUGCUCACCAUCAACUGGUAGGUCUUGUGAAAAAUCUUCAAGUUCUUUACGUGAGAGCUUAAUCCCCAUAUUUUCUAGAAAUGUGUCCAGGUUAUUCAUAUCAACCUUUCCUCCUUGGGAGAGACAAAGUAUCAUAAAAACAACCAAGAUGUGGAAAAAUUCCUUAUUAACUCAUGUAUAUUAUGGUUCUCACUUUACUCAUGAAGACAUUAAGGUCCAGUAAGACCUAACCAAGCGUACAAGGAGGAUCAACAUUAAAACUAGACGUAGAGUCUCAUCGUUUGACUGUAUCUUUUGUUCAUAUCAAC
rnacentral:lncRNA from 1 species